rnacentral:rRNA from 1 species
AGGCUUAACACAUGCAAGUCGAGGGGCAUCAGGAAGAAAGCUUGCUUUCUUUGCUGGCGACCGGCGCACGGGUGAGUAACACGUAUCCAACCUGCCCUUUACUCGGGGAUAGCCUUUCGAAAGAAAGAUUAAUACCCGAUAGCAUAAUGAUUCCGCAUGGUUUCAUUAUUAAAGGAUUCCGGUAAAGGAUGGGGAUGCGUUCCAUUAGGUUGUUGGUGAGGUAACGGCCCACCAAGCCUUCGAUGGAUAGGGGUUCUGAGAGGAAGGUCCCCCACAUUGGAACUGAGACACGGUCCAAACUCCUACGGGAGGCAGCAGUGAGGAAUAUUGGUCAAUGGGCGCUAGCCUGAACCAGCCAAGUAGCGUGAAGGAUGAAGGCUCUAUGGGUCGUAAACUUCUUUUAUAUAAGAAUAAAGUGCAGUAUGUAUACUGUUUUGUAUGUAUUAUAUGAAUAAGGAUCGGCUAACUCCGUGCCAGCAGCCGCGGUAAUACGGAGGAUCCGAGCGUUAUCCGGAUUUAUUGGGUUUAAAGGGAGCGUAGGUGGACUGGUAAGUCAGUUGUGAAAGUUUGCGGCUCAACCGUAAAAUUGCAGUUGAUACUGUCAGUCUUGAGUACAGUAGAGGUGGGCGGAAUUCGUGGUGUAGCGGUGAAAUGCUUAGAUAUCACGAAGAACUCCGAUUGCGAAGGCAGCUCACUGGACUGCAACUGACACUGAUGCUCGAAAGUGUGGGUAUCAAACAGGAUUAGAUACCCUGGUAGUCCACACAGUAAACGAUGAAUACUCGCUGUUUGCGAUAUACAGUAAGCGGCCAAGCGAAAGCAUUAAGUAUUCCACCUGGGGAGUACGCCGGCAACGGUGAAACUCAAAGGAAUUGACGGGGGCCCGCACAAGCGGAGGAACAUGUGGUUUAAUUCGAUGAUACGCGAGGAACCUUACCCGGGCUUAAAUUGCAGUGGAAUGAUGUGGAAACAUGUCAGUGAGCAAUCACCGCUGUGAAGGUGCUGCAUGGUUGUCGUCAGCUCGUGCCGUGAGGUGUCGGCUUAAGUGCCAUAACGAGCGCAACCCUUAUCUUUAGUUACUAACAGGUUAUGCUGAGGACUCUAGAGAGACUGCCGUCGUAAGAUGUGAGGAAGGUGGGGAUGACGUCAAAUCAGCACGGCCCUUACGUCCGGGGCUACACACGUGUUACAAUGGGGGGUACAGAAGGCAGCUAGCGGGUGACCGUAUGCUAAUCCCAAAAUCCUCUCUCAGUUCGGAUCGAAGUCUGCAACCCGACUUCGUGAAGCUGGAUUCGCUAGUAAUCGCGCAUCAGCCACGGCGCGGUGAAUACGUUCCCGGGCCUUGUACACACCGCCCGUCAAGCCAUGGGAGCCGGGGGUACCUGAAGUACGUAACCGCAAGGAUCGUCCUAGGGUAAAACUGGUGACUGGGGCUAAGUCAUAACA